rnacentral:rRNA from 1 species
UACGUAGGGUGCGAGCGUUAAUCGGAAUUACUGGGCGUAAAGCGUGCGCAGGCGGUUUUGUAAGCCAGAUGUGGAAUCCCCGGGCUUAACCUGGGAAUGGCAUUUGGGACUGCAAGGCUCGAGUGCGGCAGAGGAGACUGGAAUUCCGCGUGUAGCAGUGAAAUGCGUAGAUAUGCGGAGGAACACCGAUGGCGAAGGCAAUCCCCUGGACCUGUACUGACGCUCAUGCACGAAAGCGUGGGGAGCAAACAGG